rnacentral:rRNA from 1 species
GGUGGAUGAGUGGCGAACGGGUGAGUAACACGUGAGUAACCUGCCCCUGAUUUCGGGAUAAGCCUGGGAAACUGGGUCUAAUACCGGAUACGACCUCCUGACGCAUGUUGGGUGGUGGAAAGUUUUUCGAUCGGGGAUGGGCUCGCGGCCUAUCAGCUUGUUGGUGGGGUAAUGGCCUACCAAGGCGACGACGGGUAGCCGGCCUGAGAGGGCGACCGGCCACACUGGGACUGAGACACGGCCCAGACUCCUACGGGAGGCAGCAGUGGGGAAUAUUGCACAAUGGGGGAAACCCUGAUGCAGCGACGCAGCGUGCGGGAUGACGGCCUUCGGGUUGUAAACCGCUUUCAGCAGGGAAGAAGCGAAAGUGACGGUACCUGCAGAAGAAGUACCGGCUAACUACGUGCCAGCAGCCGCGGUAAUACGUAGGGUACGAGCGUUGUCCGGAAUUAUUGGGCGUAAAGAGCUCGUAGGUGGUUGGUCACGUCUGCUGUGGAAACGCAACGCUUAACGUUGCGCGUGCAGUGGGUACGGGCUGACUAGAGUGCAGUAGGGGAGUCUGGAAUUCCUGGUGUAGCGGUGAAAUGCGCAGAUAUCAGGAGGAACACCGGUGGCGAAGG